GUACACACCGCCCGUCACACCAUGGGAGGCCGGUAAUACCCGAAGUCAGUAGUCCAACCUCGUGAGGACGCUGCCGAAGGUAGGAUUGGCGACUGGGGUNAAGUCGUAACAAGGUAAC
rnacentral:rRNA from 1 species